AAAAGGACAAAAUAAAAUGUGUUUCAUAGUUUGUGGUUUGGCCUAGACCAUUGGUUUACUUUUGUUCCUAUUCCGCUCAGUAAAAAACAAUAUGGGCUUAUUUUUGAUUGCAUAGCCAAUAGCAAAAGACUGUUUUGCAUGAUUUCUAACCUUGAUACUUAAACUAGAAAAAGAAAGGUGACUCUAAUAUUUCAUAGCAUCAUAGAAUAUCCCUAGUUGGAAGGGACACAUAAG